rnacentral:rRNA from 1 species
UACGAAGGGGGCUAGCGUUGCUCGGAAUCACUGGGCGUAAAGCGCACGUAGGCGGCUUUUUAAGUCAGGGGUGAAAUCCUGGAGCUCAACUCCAGAACUGCCUUUGAUACUGAGAAGCUUGAGUCCGGGAGAGGUGAGUGGAACUGCGAGUGUAGAGGUGAAAUUCGUAGAUAUUCGCAAGAACACCAGUGGCGAAGGCGGCUCACUGGCCCGGUACUGACGCUGAGACGCGAAAGCGUGGGGAGCGAACCGG